AUCAUUAGCGCAAUUUUAACCACUCGACAUAUUUUCUAAAGAAUGAAAAACUAUACAGCUACAUGGCUUUAGUGACCAUCGUUUUCUUCUGCUCAGCUUACAGCACCAAUUUCUUCCUGAUAACUUUCCAUAUGAGAGACUUGAGAGGCAAUGAACAUGAAAUGAUGUGUGCUUUGUAAUUCAGCAGUAUUGUGUGUCGGGCUCUUAUAUUCAUCACUUGAUCAAGAGGCAUGUUUCCAGAACGACCUUCUGAUAGCAUAAGCAGUAAAGCAUAAAACAUGGUUUCGUUUCUUUAGAGGAGUCUGCUCAUCUUUGUAUCUCUGGCGACCGUAUAUCAAGAACUUGCAAGUCGGAUUUCAAUACACGUCAGUUUAUUUGUAAAUAGUAUAUGUGAAAUACUCAGAGUAUUAUACAUGUAACAAUGGGUCAUUGUUUGCUAUUAUGUUGUCCAUAAUUUGAGUGUCAUUACUUCAGUGUCUACUUCUGAUAAUAUUUUACAUCUGUAUGAUUACAGCUUUGGCUUCUUUAGUUACAAAUAUUCAUAUCUUUUUUAAUAAAUUUAACUUUAUAUAGUCUGAUUUUUUUUUAAAAAAGGUGGUAAGCUAUAAACUUAAGAUACACUUAGACUCAUACCUUUAAGUGUUUUAUUGGCAAAUAAAUGUUUGCGAACUUUAAUUUUUUUUUUUUUGAGAUUCUACUGCCAUAAUAGUUUAAGGUUUUUUGAAAUAUUACUAAUUAAUUGUUAUUGAUUCGAAGAUUUUCAAAUUUCAUCAAAAUUCUUUAUAUAUUUAUGAUAAUAGUUUUUCAUUCUAUUUUAACAAAAUUUAACGUUAAUAAAAUAUAAUUUAUCUUUUUUAUUCAUAAGAUACAAAUUUCAAAAUAUUUUGGUAAUUAAAAUAAUAGAUUUAAGAUUUAAAAUCCGCUAUGUAAUUUGUUAUUUAAAUAUCACAACAACAAAUUAGUGUUAGAGUUUUGAGAUUAUCUUUCACUGUUUAGGGUUGGUACUUUUAGGGUUAGAUGGGAUCUAUAGUUAGGUUUAGGUAGGGUUUAGGGUUAUCUUUAGG